GAUGAACGCUGGCGGCGUGCCUAAUACAUGCAAGUCGAGCGAACGGACGAGAAGCUUGCUUCUCUGAUGUUAGCGGCGGACGGGUGAGUAACACGUGGAUAACCUACCUAUAAGACUGGAUAACUUCGGGAAACCGGAGCUAAUACCGGAUAAUAUUUUGAACCGCAUGGUUCAAAAGUGAAAGGCGGUCUUGCUGUCACUUAUAGAUGGAUCUGCGCUGCAUUAGCUAGUUGGUAAGGUAACGGCUUACCAAGGCAACGAUGCAUAGCCGACCUGAGAGGGUGAUCGGCCACACUGGAACUGAGACACGGUCCAGACUCCUACGGGAGGCAGCAGUAGGGAAUCUUCCGCAAUGGGCGAAAGCCUGACGGAGCAACGCCGCGUGAGUGAUGAAGGUCUUCGGAUCGUAAAACUCUGUUAUUAGGGAAGAACAUAUGUGUAAGUAACUGUGCACAUCUUGACGGUACCUAAUCAGAAAGCCACGGCUAACUACGUG
rnacentral:rRNA from 1 species